CUGAUAUAUGUUUCGUCCCCGAGGGUAUCACCAGCCUAGUAGUCAACACUUCGGUGUUGACAUGAAUAUCAAUAAUGUGGUCAUUUUUAUAAAUUUCCUGUUCACAAAACUAUGAAUUUUUCGAAAAAACUAAGGAUUUUCUUAUCCCAGGCAUAGAUUACCUUAGCUGUAUUUGGCACAACUUUUUGGAAUUUUGGAUCCUCAAUGCUCUUCAACUUUGUACUUGUUUGGCUUUAUAAAUAUUUGGAUUUGAGCGUCACUGAUGAGUCUUAUGUAGACGAAACGCGCGUCUGGCGUACUAAAUUAUAAUCCUGGUACC
rnacentral:lncRNA from 1 species